GCUUUCGUGGUGUAAUGGUCAGCAUACUGAACUUGUAUUCGAGAGGUCCAGGAUCGAGUCCCGGCGAGGGCA
rnacentral:tRNA from 1 species